GGCUGGUCCAAGUGCAGUGGUGUUUACAACUAAUUGAUCACAACCAGUUACAGAUUUCUUUGUUCCUUCUCCACUCCCACCACUUCACUUGACUAGCCUUAA
rnacentral:Y_RNA from 1 species